CCGGGUCUACGCAGACACCCGGCAGUCAAGAUGCCUUCGUCUCAAGCGCUGC
rnacentral:ncRNA from 1 species